CCGCCGACUUAAUUUCCCCCCGCAGAAGAAGCGCGCAGUGCAUGCUGGGAUAUAUGACUGCGGGAAGCUUGCCGUUUCUGUGUGUUUAUGUAAAGCGCGCGGUGCAGGCUGGGAUAUAUGACUGCGGGAGGCUUGCCGUUUCUGUUUGUUUAUGUAAAGAACCCAAAAUGGCUCCUAUUAAUAGACACGCUUACGACGCAGAGUUUAAACUCGAGGCGAUCAGUCACACAGUAGAACACGAGAAUAGAGCAGCAGUGAGAGAAUUUAACAUUAACAGCAGCGACACUGACUCGUUUAAUGACGACUUCAUUGAGACGGAGCCGGGCAUGUUGGAUGUCGUAUUCGCCCAACUGUUUAAUUCGGACACUGAAGAAGAAGAAUUUGAGGGAUUCGUGAAUGAGGAAUAACUUAAUAAACUGGACAGAGAGUAAACAAGCCUACCUGAGAACCAAGGGUUGAAGAGGACCACGAGCGUGGCCACCUGUAUUUCCUCAUCCCACAGACUUCCUGUCAAGGUGUACUUUCCGAUGGGGGUGUCCGGCGGGGGGGUGAUGAGCAGGAUCAGGGACGUCAGCGAGGAGCUAUCAUGAAGUUGGACUGUCCAAAUAGCCUUUGCUGUCAGUGAACGAUUGGGGUAGUCUGGGAUACCAAAACGUGACAAGGUGCCCUGGUCCUCUGAGGAGUACUCUCCUGGUGAGGGAACAUUCGUUUGAUUUCACAAUUAAUUCUAUCAAUGUCAUCACCCCUGAAAUCGUACAGUUGGGAGUUCAAGUAAAUAUUUUGCACAAAAACUACAGAUUCCCUUUCUCUUUGGGUUAUUUUGUGCAAUGCCGUAACAGACGCAAGGCCAAGAUGAUGAUAACCACAAAUUUCAAAGCAAUUAAAACUGCUGUUUAACGGAACACACGUUGGAGAGUUGGAGAGCUAAUGAUUACCCACCCUGGGCCCCACCAGUUUUGGCAGUGAGUAAGAGGGAAUGAAGGUCGGGGUUAAAAGGCUUCGUCACUUUCACGGUCAUCUUAAAGGACUGUCCUCUCCGCACGAUAAGCUGAUCUCCAGAGAGUUCACUGGUGUGGUGCUCCUCAUUAUUGGUCUUACUAUGGAGGUCCACCUCCUGGACGACUGUCAAAAGAAAGCAAAAAGUACUAUGAGACGCCUAACAUCUACACAUUUAAUAUACAUAUAACAUUCAAGGCAGUUCAGGGCCUUGGGUUGCAAACUAGCCAACUGUCUACAAACCUUACAUCAUACUGUAUGUACUGUACACAUAUCAUUAUGGCAUUGGCCUUAAUUAAUUUAAGCAAUUGCUUGGAUUUUAUUGAUGUCACAUCUGACUCACAUCUCAUCCAUUAAAUAUGUGUGGUGGUCAAGCUAGCUCUGUUCUCAAUUGGUACUAGGAACCAUUUAGCCUUUUUCCCGAGAAAAAAAAAAAAAAAAAAAAAGAAGCCCUAUGCCUUUGUUAUUUUCGGCUGUACGAAUUAUUAAAAACAUGAAAAUGAUAAACAUUUUUUCAGACUUCCUCAAGAGGUAAUCAAAAAGGCCAGAAGAGUGCAAGAUUUUACAAAACAAAGACAAGAAAAGCAUGCAGCUCGGACUUCAGUUAAUAGAGAGCAGAGCCAAAGAAUGCAUGAGUUUGCAGUGCUCUCUAGUGUGGAGUGAAUUAUAUUUAUAUAGCGCUUUUCUCUAGUGACUUAAAGCGCUUUUACAUAGUGAAACCCAAUAUCUAAGUUACUGUACAUUUAAACCAGUGUGGGUGACACAGAGCAGGUGGGAAAAGUGUCUUGCCCAAAGACACAACAGCAGUGACUAGCAACCUGCAACCCUCAAGUUGCUGGCACGGCCACUCUACCAACCAAGCUAUACCGCUCCAUUUCAAUAAAGGCUUGUUUGAUAUACUUUAAACAGUUAUUUUCCAUGUAAGUAUUAUCUUGAUAUUUUUUUGUAUUUCUUAUACACAUGUUUGCCACGAGUGUUUCGAAAAGCACCAACUCAGCGUGUCUAAAUAAAAGAAAGCAGCGGUUAGCCAAAACCUAAAAGAGUUAAGCUUUUACCAAAGGCAACAAUCAUAAAUAGCACAUACACAAUGAUGACAUUUAUAGUUUUAUUUUGAUAAAGACAGGGGGAAACACGCUACUUGUAAACGGCGCAUGCGACAACAGAAGCAAAAACGAUGAAUAUUUAUCCGGGAGAGUCUUGAUACUGAUUUUCUUGACACAGCCACAAACAGAUUUUCCAAGUUUCUAUCUGUUUUGUCACGUAGAACGGCGCGAGGAUUACAAUAGUUCAUGUAAGCCUCUUUUGUACUCGGAUAGUUUGCGUGUUGCUUGCUGUACAACAGCCAUCUUGGUUUGGUUGACCACCACGGGUUUUAACUUCCGUGUAAAAGUCACGUGUCGGAAUACAAUAAUGUUCGCUGCAUUGUCCCUGACAAAUAAAACAUGUAUUUUAGUUCAGUUAAUUUUUUUUCUCCAUUCAUAAAAAUCAAAAAAGAAUAAAAACAUUUAAAUAAAACAACCAACCAAUUUUCCCUCCAAUUUUUCAUAAAAGUGAGCAAACGCCAAAACUCCUUGAGCAUUCAGUGGCGCACAUGUGAGCGACGGCAGACGUGCACACUGUUAUGCGCUUAUUUUUUUAUUCGAUUUUGUGUGCGGCCUUAAUUUGCUGUGCGCAGAGGACACGUGAGCAGUGUGCAAUUGCACAGGCGUGUACCUUAGACGGAACGUUGCAAGUGAAGUGAAGUGAAUUAUAUUUUAUCUAGCGCUUUUUCUCUAGUGACUCAAAGCGCUUUACAUAGUGAAAACCCAAUAUCAAAUUUUUACAUUUAAACCAGUGUGGGUGGCACUGGGAGCAGGUGGGUAAAGUGUCUUGCCCAAGGACACAACGGCAGUGACUAGGAUGGCAGAAGCGGGGAUCGAACCUGCAACCCUCAAGUUGCUGGCACGGCCGCUCUACCAACAGAGCUAUACCGCCAACAUAACUAAAGUAAAUUAUGAAUGAAUAGCAGCAGAAAAAUAUUUAAAACUUAUAUCUGCUCCCCAUUCUCAUCCAUACAGCAAUUGACAUUCAAUGUGGCGACUACAAAGCCGUUUUUUGUAUUUUACAACAGUUAUCAAUCAAUCAACCAAAUUUGACUUAUAUAGCCCUUAAUCACAAAUGUCUCAGCUCAGAUCCUACAUCAGGGCAAGACAAAAACUCAACCCAAUGGGAACAAGUGAAACCCUGGAAGGGACCACAAAUGUGCAAAAAUAUGUUAAAAAAUGCGUACUUAUGAUUUAUAUAUUUUACAAUUGUAUUAUAUAUGCAUUUAUACCCCAGCCUUAAGGUUAUGUAAUAAUUUCCCUUGGUUUGUCUGUUAGUUAGUAACAUAACUAAACAUUUUAUGAGCUUAUUUUCAUGAAACUGUUAGAAAUUGUCCAAAAUUGAACAAGGAACAACUGUGUUACAGUCUGUAUGAAGGUUUUUGGGUUUGUUUUGUUUUUCCUAUGUUUAGUGUUUCUUCUUGUGUAGCGCACUUAUUUUGCAUCUAUUUUCGGAUUUGGGUAUCCGGCAGCUUCUGAACGUUAUUCUCCUCAUUUGUCCCUGGUUGGCAAUCAGGAGCGGUUAUUUUCCAGUGUCAUACAUUAGACAGGGCUGGUUCAUUGACUAUUGUAUUUCACUAGCUAUUUGUUUGCCAAUUAUACUUUUGUCCCUGCAUUUUUCCUGUUGAAAGACUUUGCAGCUUGUACAUUGCUUGCUGUCUGUGAAUCCUGAGGUCAUACCCUUGAAACCUUGCAUGUUGUUUACAAACUGAUUAGGUUUUGGGCCUCAUCCAAAUAAUUUCUACUACCAUACUUUAUGUUUCCAUGUGUAUAUGCUAGCAACCUCGCAUUGAAUUCACUCCAUUUCUUUCACACAGCAA